UACGUAGGGCGCAAGCGUUAUCCGGAAUUAUUGGGCGUAAAGAGCUCGUAGGCGGUUUGUCGCGUCUGCCGUGAAAGUCCGGGGCUCAACUCCGGGAUCUGCGGUGGGUACGGGGCAGACUAGAGUGAUGUAGGGGAGACUGGAAUUCCUGGUGUAGCGGUGAAAUGCGCAGAUAUCAGGAGGAACACCGAUGGCGAAGGCAGGUCUCUGGGCAUUACCUGACGCUGAGGAGCGAAAGUGUGGGGAGCGAACAGG
rnacentral:rRNA from 1 species